ACUGUAAGGACAAUCAACCUAAUUACAACGCAGUGUGUUGCCCGCCACAACAGGAGUUACUGAUUGCUUCGGCCUGCAGAUUCCAUCUUUGCCGCGGAGGAGCAACAGCGAAUCAAAGAGGGAACUUUGAUAUCAGCUGAAUUCAAGAAAUAACUCACAGCAAAACACAAAGGUGGCAUCCAUGUUGACCUCGCUUCCACAUCGUGUCUUUGUUCAUAAUCACAUCUUCAGUGAAGCACUCCCGAGACUUGUCUCCAUGCCAACAAUGCACAGACAGCCUGAUGACAUCAUAGAUGAGUGGCGGAGCUGGGG